AAAAAUUCCAACUAAAAGUUAGCUAGCCUUUAUAGGCUGCUAAUCUUUUAAACCCUUGUGAACUGUUUAUUGUCUAUGGUGGGUUAAAAGAUCUCUAUCUAGUGUAAAGAUUGGCUUUAACCAGCUACCCACCUAUUUAUUAAACACCUUAAAUAUUUUUAGUCUUUAACAAUUCUAUUUUGAAUUCUUUGAAUUUAAAAA
rnacentral:misc_RNA from 1 species